GACAGAGGUGGCAAGCGUUGUCCGGAAUUACUGGGCGUAAAGAGCGUGUAGGCGGCCCGGUAAGUCCGCUGUGAAAGUCGGGGGCUCAACCCUCGAAUGCCGGUGGAUACUGUCGGGCUAGAGUGCGGAAGAGGCGAGUGGAAUUCCUGGUGUAGCGGUGAAAUGCGCAGAUAUCAGGAGGAACACCAAUUGCGAAGGCAGCUCGCUGGGACGUAACUGACGCUGAGACGCGAAAGCGUGGGGAGCAAACAGG
rnacentral:rRNA from 1 species